GCAGGACACGGUAAUGCUUGGUGCAGACAACUAUGAAACCAAUGCUGAAAUUGCAGCAAGGUUAGCUGAGGGAAGAGUUCCGAUUGGAAUAGAAGAAAAUACAAGAAUCAAAGACUGCAUCAUUGACCAGAAUGCUAGAAUCGGGAAGAAUGUUGUUAUUGCAAACUCAGAGGUAUGUUUCUUCAAAUAAUUUGUUGUGG